rnacentral:lncRNA from 1 species
GAGUUCAUCUUCCCUGUGGCUCAUGGCUUCUUGAAGAAGGAUGGACACAAUUUGGUUUGUGUUGGCACAGCGUGACAGUGAGGUAGGCAAGAUAUGGUGUUUGCCAAAGUUGUUUUUGGUGAGUUAAUGUCAUGAAUUCUGGUAAAAAAUUUUUCCUCUAAUAUUUGUUAAAACUUCUUCUCACCUCACAGUAUUCUCAAUCUUCUUCAUGUUAUUAAUUUGCAUAUCAAACUCACUGUUCAUAGAGGGAAGACCGUGUGAGGACACAGUGGGAAGACGGCCACCUGCAAGCCAAGGAGAGAGGCCUCAGAAGGAAGCGGCCAUGCAGACACCUUCAUCUUGGAAGUCCAGUCUCCAGACCUGUGAGAAAAACAGCUUCUGUUGUGAAAGAACUAUGAGCCUAUGGCAAGAUAUAAAGAAAUCUGGGGACUCCAAAAUGCCAAAGCUUCUGUUUAAAUUAUACCUCUGUCUAUUAAAACGUUU